rnacentral:rRNA from 1 species
UGCCGCGUGCAGGAAGACUGCCCUAUGGGUUGUAAACUGCUUUUAUAUAGGAAGAAACCUUGGUACGUGUACCAAGCUGACGGUACUAUAAGAAUAAGGAUCGGCUAACUCCGUGCCAGCAGCCGCGGUAAUACGGAGGAUCCAAGCGUUAUCCGGAAUCAUUGGGUUUAAAGGGUCCGUAGGUGGAUAAUUAAGUCAGAGGUGAAAUCUUGCAGCUCAACUGUAAAAUUGCCUUUGAUACUGGUUAUCUUGAGUUAUUAUGAAGUAGUUAGAAUAUGUAGUGUAGCGGUGAAAUGCAUAGAUAUUACAUAGAAUACCAAUUGCGAAGGCAGAUUACUAAUAAUCAACUGACACUGAUGGACGAAAGCGUGGGUAGCGAACAGGAUUAGAUACCCUGGUAGUCCACGCCGUAAACGAUGGUUACUAGCUGUUUGGACCUUGUGUCUGAGUGGCUAAGCGAAAGUGAUAAGUAACCCACCUGGGGAGUACGUUCGCAAGAAUGAAACUCAAAGGAAUUGACGGGGGCCCGCACAAGCGGUGGAGCAUGUGGUUUAAUUCGAUGAUACGCGAGGAACCUUACCAGGGCUUAAAUGUAAGUUGCAUUAGUUAGAGAUAGCUAUUUCUUCGGACCACUUACAAGGUGCUGCAUGGUUGUCGUCAGCUCGUGCCGUGAGGUGUCAGGUUAAGUCCUAUAACGAGCGCAACCCCUGUUGUUAGUUGCCAGCGAGUCAUGUCGGGAACUCUAACAAGACUGCCAGUGCAAACUGUGAGGAAGGUGGGGAUGACGUCAAAUCAUCACGGCCCUUACGUCCUGGGCUACACACGUGCUACAAUGGUCGGUACAGAGAGCAGCCACUACGCGAGUAGGAGCGAAUCUUAAAAGCCGAUCACAGUUCGGAUCGGAGUCUGCAACUCGACUCCGUGAAGCUGGAAUCGCUAGUAAUCGGAUAUCAGCCAUGAUCCGGUGAAUACGUUCCCGGGCCUUGUACACACCGCCCGUCAAGCCAUGGAAGUUGGGAGUGCCUGAAGUCCGUUACCGUAAGGAGCGGCCUAGGGUAAAAUCGAUAACUAGGGCUAAGUCGUAACAAGGUAGCCGUACCGGAAGGUGCGGCUGGAACACCUCCUUUCU